rnacentral:rRNA from 1 species
UACGUAGGGUGCAAGCGUUAAUCGGAAUUACUGGGCGUAAAGCGUGCGCAGGCGGUUUUGUAAGUCUGUCGUGAAAGCCCCGGGCUCAACCUGGGAAUUGCGAUGGAGACUGCAAGGCUUGAAUCUGGCAGAGGGGGGGUAGAAUUCCACGUGUAGCAGUGAAAAUGCGUAGAGAUGUGGAGGAACACCGAUGGCGAAGGCAGCCCCCCUGGGGUCAAGAUUGACGCUCAUGCACGAAAAGCGUGGGGGAGCAAACAGG